rnacentral:lncRNA from 1 species
CCCAAGAACAAAAAAUAAAACGGGCUCAGAUAUUUACAACUCAAUCAACAAAUCAUCAUAGCCCAACUCCCACAUAUACAAUGUAUACCAGAAAAUACAAUAAAUAUACAAUGUAUAUACAAUGUAUACAAUCAUUUAUGCUUAGGUUUGGAAGCCAUAUGUAUACCAAAAAAUACAAUAAAUAUACAAUGUAUAAAAUCAUUUAUGAGGUUUGGAAGCCAUGUAGUCUUUCAUCUCAACACCCCCCCCCCAAGUUGGAGGGGGUAACCACCUACAACUUGGAUAACAGCGGAUGAAGCACAGUGCCAGGUAAUGGCUUAGUGAGCAGGUCAGCCAGUUGACGAGAAGUAGGAACAUGAAGCAGCUUGAGAAAACAACUUGGAUAACAGCGGAUGAAGCACAGUGCCAGGUAAUGGCUUAGUGAGCAGGUCAGCUAGUUGAUGAGAAGUAGGAACAUGAAACAGCUGGAGAAAACUAUUUUGUAGCUGAUUCCGAACAAAAUGGCAGUCCACAUCGAUCUGUUUGGUACGCUCAUAAAAAACAGGAUUGUUAACUAUAUGGACAGCAGCCUGGCUGUCACAAUACACAGAAAAUGGAAGACAAACAGAUACUCCAAGAUCAACCAAUAAACGAGAUAGCCAAGAUAAUUCAGCAACAACUUUGCUGAGGGCUCUAUAUUCUGCCUCAACAGAAGACAAAGAAACAACAGGCUGCUUUUUAGAUUUCCAACUAAUCAGGCAACCACCCAAUAGCACACAAAAUCCAGUAACAGAUCUCCUAGUAUCAGGGCAUGCAGCCCAGUCACUAUCAGAUCAGGCAACCACCCAAUAGCACACAAAAUCCAGUAACAGAUCUCCUAGUAUCAGGGCAUGUAACCCAGUCACUAUCAGAAUAACCAACAACAGAGAAAUCAUCACAGGCAUAAUAAAAGAGACCCAUCGAAGGAGUGCCUUUAAGGUAUCUCAAAACAUGUAGGGCAGCAGUCAUAUGGGGAAGUCUGGGG